GUAGCCUCUGUUAUUGGUAAUGGUGAGAGGUUAGCAUGUUUUGUUGUAGUCUCUGUUAUUGGUAAUGGUGAGAGGUUAGCAUGUUUUGUUGUAACCUCUGUUAUUGGUAAUGGUGAGAGGUUAGUAUGUUUUGUUGUAGUCUCUGUUAUUGGUAAUGGUGAGAGGUUAUUAUGUUUUGUUGUAGUCUCUGUUAUUGGUAAUGGUGAGAGGUUAGCAUGUUUUGUUGUAGCCUCUGUUAUUGGUAAUGGUGAGGUUAGCAUGCUUUGUUUGUUGUAUUCUCUGUUAUUGGUAAUGGUGAGAGGUUAGCAUGUUUUGUUGUAGCCUCUGUUAUUGGUAAUGGUGAGAGGUUAGCAUGUUUUGUUGUAGCCUCUGUUAUUGGUAAUGGUGAGAGGUUAGCAUGUUUUGUUGUAGCAUCUGUUAUUGGUAAUGGUGAGAGGUUAGCAUGUUUUGUUGUAGCCUCUGUUAUUGGUAAUGGUGAGAGGUUAGCAUGUUUUGUUGUAGCCUCUGUUAUUGGUAAUGGUGAGAGGUUAGCAUGUUUUGUUGUAGUCUCUGUUAUUGGUAAUGGUGAGAGGUUAGCAUGUUUUGUUGUAACCUCUGUUAUUGGUAAUGGUGAGAGGUUAGUAUGUUUUGUUGUAGUCUCUGUUAUUGGUAAUGGUGAGAGGUUAUUAUGUUUUGUUGUAGUCUCUGUUAUUGGUAAUGGUGAGAGGUUAGCAUGUUUUGUUGUAGCCUCUGUUAUUGGUAAUGGUGAGGUUAGCAUGCUUUGUUUGUUGUAUUCUCUGUUAUUGGUAAUGGUGAGAGGUUAGUAUGUUUUGUUGUAGCCUCUGUAAUUGGUAAUGGUGAGAGGUUAGUAUGUUUUGUUGUAUCCUCUGUUAUUGGUAAUGGUGAGAGGUUAGUAUGUUUUGUUGUAGCCUCUGUUAUUGGUAAUGGUGAGAGGUUAGUAUGUUUUGUUGUAAUCUCUGUAAUUGGUAAUGGUGAGAGGUUAGUAUGUUUUGUUGUAGCCUCUGUUAUUGGUAAUGGUGAGAGGUUAGUAUGUUUUGUUGUCGUCUGUUAUUGGUAAUGGUGAGAGGUUAGCAUGUUUUGUUGUAGCCUCUGUUAUUGGUAAUGGUGAGAGGUUAGCAUGUUUUGUUGUAGCCUCUGUUAUUGGUAAUGGUGAGAGGUUAGCAUGUUUUGUUCUAGCCUCUGUUAUUGGUAAUGGUGAGAGGUUAGUAUGUUUUGUUGUAAUCUCUGUAAUUGGUAAUGGUGAGAGGUUAGUAUGUUUUGUUGUAAUCUCUGUAAUUGGUAAUGGUGAUGUUGUACCAUCUGUAACUGUCACACUCAUUAUCAUGGCAUCAUCAGGAUUAGUUUAGUAGUGCUUAGAAAGAUGUUAUCUACUCAGACAAAAAAUUACUCCAGUCAUGAAUCACAAUUGUUUUAAUGAACAAAAAUAACCCAAAAUAACCCAAAACAAACUGUAAAUGCAACAAACGAGUUUGUCACGACUUCCGCCGAGGUCGGUCCCUCUCCUUGUUCGGGCGGCGUUCGGUGGUCGACGUCACCGGCCUUCUAGCCAUCGCAGAUCCACUUUCAUUUUCCAUUUGUUUUGUCUUUGUUUUACACAGCUGGUUUCAUUUCCCCAAUUACAUGUUCAAUAUUUAACCCUCUUUUUCCCCUUUGUUUUCUGUCUGUUCGGUCUGUUAUUGUGGGCUCGGUAUUACGACAUGUUAGUAGAAUAUUUGAGUAAAGUUACUUGUGUUACUCAUCUCUGCUGUCCUGCGCCUGACUCCUCUGCACCAGCUACACCCAGACCAUUACAGGGACACAUCUCUGCUGUCCUGCGCCUGACUCCUCUGCACCAGCUACACCCAGACCAUUACAGGGACACAUCUCUGCUGUCCUGCGCCUGACUCCUCUGCACCAGCCUCACCCAGACCAUUACAGAGACACAUCUCUGCUGUCCUGCGCCUGACUCCUCUGCACCAGCCUCACCCAGACCAUUACAGAGACACAUCUCUGCUGUCCUGACUCCUCUGCACCAGCUACACCCAGACCAUUACAGAGACACAUCUCUGCUGUCCUGCGCCUGACUCCUCUGCACCAGCCUCACCCAGACCAUUACAGAGACACAUCUCUGCUGUCCUGACUCCUCUGCACCAGCUACACACAGACCACUACAGGGACACAUCUCUGCUGUCCUGACUCCUCUGCACCAGCUACACACAGACCACUACAGAGACACAUCUCUGCUGUCCUGACUCCUCUGCACCAGCCUCACCCAGACCAUUACAGAGACACAUCUCUGCUGUCCUGACUCCUCUGCACCAGCCUCACCCAGACCAUUACAGAGACACAUCUCUGCUGUCCUGACUCCUCUGCACCAGCCUCACCCAGACCAUUACAGAGACACAUCUCUGCUGUCCUGACUCCUCUGCACCAGCCUCACCCAGACCAUUACAGAGACACAUCUCUGCUGUCCUGACUCCUCUGCACCAGCCUCACCCAGACCAUUACAGAGACACAUCUCUGCUGUCCUGACUCCUCUGCACCAGCUACACCCAGACCAUUACAGAGACACAUCUCUGCUGUCCUGACUCCUCUGCACCAGCCUCACCCAGACCACUACAGAGUUUCAGUCACAAGCUGGAUGAAGUCAUUGCGUUCAAGGAAUAUCGGACCAAAUACUCAACUUUUGACUAUUUUAAUACACUGAAAGUUAAUUGGUCAGAAUACUUAUGAUUUCUUCAAAUGGGGGGACUAGAUAUAUAAAGUGCUUUUAUUUUUCUAAAUGGUGAAACAGACAUGUAUUAAAAUACCCUCAAAAAAACGGUGACAUUAUAAACUGUCACCUCAUAUGAAACAUUUGAUCUGAAAUCCAAAAUGUUGGAGAAUAGAGACACAUUUAAAAUGUUAGCUUCACUGUCUAAAUAGAUGUGGUGUGGACUGUAUACUCAAUACAAUCUAAAUCU